rnacentral:rRNA from 1 species
AUUGAACGCUGGCGGCAUGCCUUACACAUGCAAGUCGAACGGUAACAGGUCUUCGGAUGCUGACGAGUGGCGCACGGGUGCGUAAUACAUCGGAACGUGCCCGAUCGUGGGGGAUAACGCAGCGAAAGCUGUGCUAAUACCGCAUACGAUCUACGGAUGAAAGCGGGGGAUCGCAAGACCUCGCGCGGACGGAGCGGCCGAUGGCAGAUUAGGUAGUUGGUGGGAUAAAAGCUUACCAAGCCGACGAUCUGUAGCUGGUCUGAGAGGACGACCAGCCACACUGGGACUGAGACACGGCCCAGACUCCUACGGGAGGCAGCAGUGGGGAAUUUUGGACAAUGGGCGCAAGCCUGAUCCAGCCAUGCCGCGUGCAGGAUGAAGGCCUUCGGGUUGUAAACUGCUUUUGUACGGAACGAAAAAGCUCUCUCUAAUACAGGGGGUGAAUGACGGUACCGUAAGAAUAAGCACCGGCUAACUACGUG